CGUGCUGAAGAGCUUCUCUAAAGCAAUGCAGGAAUUUCAGCUUUAUUGCCAUAAGCCUGAAUCUACAAAAUGGAGUCAAAGCUGGGGUGAAGGAAGCCACCUAUUCAGCGGUGAAACAGGUGGUGCUGGGGAGCUGAGAGCAAGAGGGCUGGAUGGUCUGAGCAGGAGGAUGUGACCCAAGGCCAUGGAGUUGGAAGCCCAAGGGAAUGAUGAGGGCAUGACCCAAAGCCACUGUGUGGGGAGCCCACAGGAGCAGAACCCCCUGCUGAUGUUGGUCUGCAGGGCUAUCAAUAUUCUAUGGAGGUUCAUCUCUUCUGCUCUACACUUUGGGAGAAAAGUCCCUGCAGAAUGACAAAGGCUCAUCAAUGCUGCAGAGCGGUUUGGUCCUUUCUGGAGUAAAUCUGGUUGUUUGCUGAAGUGGGGUUGGGAGUUGGGUGUGACAUGGGGU